UGGGGAAUAUUGGACAAUGGGCGAAAGCCUGAUCCAGCCAUGCCGCGUGUGUGAAGAAGGUCUUCGGAUUGUAAAGCACUUUAAGUUGGGAGGAAGGGCAGUUACCUAAUACGUGAUUGUUUUGACGUUACCGACAGAAUAAGCACCGGCUAACUCUGUGCCAGCAGCCGCGGUAAUACAGAGGGUGCAAGCGUUAAUCGGAAUUACUGGGCGUAAAGCGCGCGUAGGUGGUUUGUUAAGUUGGAUGUGAAAUCCCCGGGCUCAACCUGGGAACUGCAUUCAAAACUGACUGACUAGAGUAUGGUAGAGGGUGGUGGAAUUUCCUGUGUAGCGGUGAAAUGCGUAGAUAUAGGAAGGAACACCAGUGGCGAAGGCG
rnacentral:rRNA from 1 species